AUUGAACGCUGGCGGCGUGCCUUACACAUGCAAGUCGAACGGCAGCAUGGGGCAACCUGGUGGCGAGUGGCGAACGGGUGAGUAAUACAUCGGAACGUGCCCAAUCGUGGGGGAUAACGUAGCGAAAGCUACGCUAAUACCGCAUACGAUCUAAGGAUGAAAGCGGGGGAUCGCAAGACCUCGCGCGAAUGGAGCGGCCGAUGGCAGAUUAGGUAGUUGGUAGGGUAAAGGCCUACCAAGCCGACGAUCUGUAGCUGGUCUGAGAGGAUGAUCAGCCACACUGGGACUGGGCAACGGCCCAGACUCCUACGGGAGGCAGCAGUGGGGAAUUUUGGACAAUGGACGCAAGUCUGAUCCAGCCAUUCCGCGUGCAGGAUGAAGGCCCUCGGGUUGUAAACUGCUUUUGUACAGAACGAAAAGGCUCCGGUUAAUACCUGGGGCUCAUGACGGUACUGUAAGAAUAAGCACCGGCUAACUACGUGCCAGCCGCCGCCGUAACAC
rnacentral:rRNA from 1 species